UGAGCGGGCCGGGCAGGGGCGAGCCGAGCCCCCGGCCCAUGAGCACCAUGCGCCUGCUGCUGCUCGCCGUGCUCGUCUCCUUCUCCUUCGCCCGCGCCGGCUGCGAGCCCAAGAUCGUCAACAUCGGCGCGGUGCUGAGCACCAGGAAGCACGAGCAGAUCUUCCGCGAGGCGGUGAGCCAGGCCAACAAGCGCCACGGCACGUGGAAGAUCCAGCUGAACGCCACCUCGGUCACCCACAAGCCCAACGCCAUCCAGAUGGCCCUGUCCGUCUGCGAGGACCUCAUCUCCAGCCAGGUCUAUGCAAUAUUAGUUAGUCACCCACCUGCUCCAAAUGAUCACCUAACACCAACACCUGUAUCAUACACAGCUGGCUUCUACAGGAUUCCUGUCAUUGGUCUGACAACACGCAUGUCUAUAUAUUCUGAUAAGAGCAUUCACCUGUCCUUCCUGCGCACUGUCCCGCCGUACUCUCACCAGUCCAACGUCUGGUUUGAGAUGAUGCGAGUGUACAACUGGAAUCACAUCAUACUAAUAGUCAGUGAUGACCAUGAGGGUCGCGCUGCACAGAAGAAGCUGGAGACGCUGCUGGAAGAGAAAGAAUCCAAGAGUAAAAAAAGGAACUAUGAAAACCUCGACCAACUUUCCUAUGACAACAAGCGAGGACCCAAGGCUGAGAAAGUUCUUCAGUUUGACCCGGGAACCAAAAACGUGACUUCACUGCUGCUUGAAGCGAAGGAGCUGGAGGCUCGGGUUAUCAUCCUCUCUGCAAGUGAGGAUGACGCCGCCACAGUGUACAGAUCGGCAGCCAUGCUCAAUAUGACGGGCUCAGGAUACGUGUGGCUGGUUGGGGAGAGAGAGAUAUCUGGCAAUGCCCUGCGAUACGCUCCUGACGGGGUGAUCGGUUUGCAGCUCAUUAAUGGGAAGAACGAGUCAGCUCACAUCAGCGAUGCUGUCGCAGUGGUAGCUCAGGCAGUGCAUGACUUAUUCGAGAAGGAGAAUAUCACAGACCCCCCAAGAGGCUGCGUUGGGAACACCAACAUUUGGAAGACUGGCCCUCUUUUCAAGAGAGUGUUGAUGUCGUGCAAGUACACUGAGGGCGUGACCGGGAGAGUGGAGUUCAAUGAAGACGGGGACCGGAAAUUCGCCAAUUACAGCAUCAUGAACCUGCAGAACCGGAAACUGGUCCAAAUUGGGGUUUACAAUGGCAGCCACGUCCUUCCCAAUGACCGGAAGAUCAUCUGGCCUGGGGGAGAGACAGAGAAACCUGCGGGCUAUCAGAUGUCAACCAAAUUGAAGAUUGUGACAAUUCACCAAGAGCCUUUUGUGUACGUGAAAGCAACACAAGCUGAUGGAACAUGUAAGGAAGAAAUUACCAUCAAUGGAGACCCCGUGAAAAAGGUCUUUUGCACUGGACCCAAUGAGACCAUCCCAGGCCGCCCCACUGUGGCGCUGUGCUGCUAUGGCUUCUGCAUCGACCUGCUGAUCAGACUUGCAGGGGUGAUGAAUUUCACCUACGAAGUUCACCUGGUUGCUGAUGGUAAAUUUGGCACACAGGAGCGGGUCAAUAACAGCAAUAAGAAGGAGUGGAACGGGAUGAUGGGGGAGCUCCUGAGCGGCCAGGCAGACAUGAUCGUGGCGCCCCUCACCAUCAACAACGAGCGUGCGCAGUACAUCGAAUUCUCCAAGCCCUUCAAGUACCAGGGGCUCACCAUCCUGGUGAAGAAGGAAAUCCCCCGCAGCACCCUCGAUUCAUUCAUGCAGCCUUUCCAGAGCACACUGUGGCUGCUGGUGGGACUCUCAGUGCAUGUGGUGGCUGUGAUGUUAUAUCUCUUAGACCGGUUCAGCCCCUUUGGCCGGUUCAAAGUUAACAGUGAGGAAGAGGAGGAAGAUGCACUGACCCUCUCCUCGGCCAUGUGGUUCUCUUGGGGAGUGCUGCUGAACUCUGGGAUCGGAGAAGGUGCUCCCCGGAGUUUCUCUGCUCGUAUCCUUGGCAUGGUGUGGGCUGGCUUUGCUAUGAUCAUUGUGGCUUCCUACACUGCCAACCUGGCUGCCUUCCUGGUGUUAGACAGACCUGAAGAGAGAAUCACAGGCAUUAACGACCCUAGGCUGCGGAACCCCUCCGAUAAAUUCAUCUACGCCACUGUGAAGCAGAGCUCAGUGGACAUUUACUUCCGGCGGCAGGUGGAGCUGAGCACCAUGUACCGGCACAUGGAGAAGCACAACUAUGAGAGCGCUGCCGAAGCCAUCCAGGCCGUCAGGGACAGCAAACUCCACGCCUUCAUCUGGGACUCAGCAGUGCUGGAGUUUGAAGCCUCCCAGAAGUGUGACCUGGUGACAACGGGGGAGCUUUUCUUCCGCUCUGGCUUUGGGAUUGGGAUGCGCAAAGACAGCCCCUGGAAGCAGAACGUCUCCCUGGCCAUCCUCAAAUCCCAUGAAAACGGCUUCAUGGAGGACUUGGACAAGACUUGGGUGAGGUAUCAGGAGUGUGAUUCCCGUAGCAAUGCCCCAGCAACACUCACCUUUGAAAAUAUGGCAGGUGUAUUUAUGCUGGUGGCUGGAGGUAUUGUUGCCGGGAUAUUUUUAAUAUUCAUAGAAAUAGCUUACAAAAGGCAUAAAGAUGCGCGGAGGAAGCAGAUGCAGCUGGCGUUUGCGGCCGUUAAUGUGUGGCGGAAAAACCUGCAGUCCUCUCUCUCUCUUGUGGCGCUAGGAUUCAGCUUCAGAAAAGGCCCAGAGCAUUUUUUUUUAGUGGAUAGAAAAAGUGGUAGAGCAGAACCUGACCCUAAAAAGAAAGCCACUUUUAGGUCCAUCACCUCCACCCUGGCCUCCAGCUUCAAGAGACGUAGGUCCUCCAAAGAUACGGAUAUGCAGCACAUGCCAACUGGUUCAGAGAACGCAGGGGAAGCCCCCCGGCACCUUGAGGAAGGGAUCAGAGACAGCAGACUGGAAGGAACCACAGCGCUAGUGUUACCCGUGCUGCACUCUCCAGGUGGAGAAGCUCUCAGCCUGCACUAAUGACCCCCCCCAUCACAUCACAUCACAUCCCCGAAACCCAGUACCGAUGAGCAGGCAGGAGGGUGUGAGCAGUAUCAUCCCACUGACAUCACUGGGCAGCUCAACCUCUCCGACCCCUCAGUCAGCACUGUGGUGUGACGUCCUCCAGCAGGAGCCAUCAGUCCCUAGUUUAAGACGGCCCAGCCCAGGACUUCCUUUCAAAGGGACACUGAUGGGUCCAUACUGGUGAGUCAAGAGGGAUGCAUCCUCCAUCAAUACGCAGUGACUUCAUUGUCUCUCUUCUGCCCUUCCUGGUCCCUCUGACAUGUAAUGCCCCAGAUUGCACUACAGAACUAGGGACCGUUCUGGAGCUGCACUGUACAGAGAUGAUCACUUCCGCAUCAUGCUGUGUUUUACUCAGUAUUGCCACUGGCUGCAGAUGAGCUGGAAUUAAGGCAAGAGGAGAGGGCUCUGAACGGCCCACGGCACCUGGCCAUCUCACAGAGCAGCGACAGGAAACGCAGGGAAGGAGUGGAUGUUGCAUCCUUUGCAGGGGGUGGAGGACAAUUUGCUGAGACCUUGUUUGUUCCUAAGCGCGUGUAUGGACUAUCAUAGCCUCUUCCACAUACUUCACAUGCCACAGGAGGACUGUGACAUGGUCUGGUAGCACUGGAGCUGUUGGUUCCUGUCCAUAGCUCAGCACACAAGGCACAUGUCUGCCUCUGUUCUGGUGUCAUCGUUUCAGGGAGCAGGUGCAGCCACACAGUCCGUUGAUGAAACAUGUUCCCUCUGGCUACAGUUGGGAAGGGCCUUUCUCCAGCUCUCUCCAUUUCCAGAUGAUGAUAAAGUCCAAAGCUCCCUAUUCACCCUCCCCUCCUGUCUGCACCAAGCCAGCCCCUGCCCUGCGCCCACAUUAGCCAUCUGUUUCUACAUGGCCAUUUGCUAUAUGAGUAACACUGGCAUCACCUCCCUCAGCUCCCCACUGCUGGCACCCCUCCAGCUGCUGUGACAGAGGUGGCUCGGAGAACUAUUGCUGGCUGCUUGGUGAGGUCCUGUCAGUGUGUUUUGAGCUCCCCUUGAGGCCGUCUGCACACAAGACAUUUGUACGGGCCAGGCCACGCUGAGCACUGCUGCAGAUGGAUGUCCAGCCCAGCAACGCCAUGUUUAGUAAUAAGGCAAAGCAGCGUUGGUACCAGGCACUGGCGCGCACUGAGAUCACUGCUCUGGAUAGUUUGGUCCAUCCCUUGUCUUUGCCAUCCACCUCGCUGCCCCAGCAUCUCCAUAGCUCACGCUGCAGCAGUGUAUUUCAUAGCAAACGGCCAAAGGCGUUCUGCCCCGUCCCCUCACAGGGGCUAGACUGACGUUCCUGCUGAAUGCCCUCAAAUGCUUCUAGUGUCACAGUGUGGCCUCCCAGCACCACUAACGAGGGCUGUUGUGAGCAGUGUGCACUGGGCAUGAAUAUGGUGCUACACACACACUGGCAGGAUCCUUACCCACCGGACCUGCACUCACCAUUGAACCAGAAAAGUGAGUUCACUAGUGCCACCACCAGGCCUCCUCUGAACACGCCACAAGAGCUCGCUGUCAGCCUGGCACCACUGGCAUCUCUACAGUCAGCGCCUAGGCACGGCCCACCCAUCAUGGUGACCGAGUCACCACCACACAUUCACCGGAUGAGCCGCAGAAGAGGGGGCACUUGGAGGGACACUUGCCCAUUCCCAAGGUUCUUGUCCAUGCUCUGCCUGAUUCAUCCUGCAUCAUACGUCUCCAGGCGCCGUUGUCUCCUGUCAGGCAGCGGGGAAUGAACGUGGCCAGCAGUGCCGGCCUGUAACCCCACUGCACUGUCUAGUCAAUUCUCUAGCAACCGCACAGCAGGCAGGCGCUACCCCGUGCACAGUGUGUCGUGUGCGUGCAAAGCUGUUGGUAUAUUUAACUCUUGCAUGUGAAAUGUAGAUACAUUUUUUAAAAGCAAACCUGUCUGCAGUGUGACACUCCGACGCAGCCCCACCUGGGUGCGCUGGCCGGUCUGUGCCAUGGCGUGCCGUAGCAGCAGCUACCUUCCCCUCCAGUACUUUAACCCCCAGGGCUGGUGGCCACUGCAGAAGGAAUUGGACUGUACAGUAUUUCCAGACUCAGUGGGCCAGAUCCUCAGCUGGCAUAAAUCAGCGUACCUCCGUUGACUGCAGUGGCACUAUUGAUUCCAGUCAGGCGAGGCCAGUUUACACCAGCUGAGAAUUUGGCCCACGCUAUGUAUACUUCGGUGUCAUGUAACUUAAAACACCCUUUUGCCAGAGUUGGGUAAAGUCCAAACUGGACCAUAAAGAGGUUUAUUCCACUG